rnacentral:rRNA from 1 species
AGUCAAUAGAUACCCAGGUAGUCCAUGCCGUAAACGAUGAUUGCUAGGUGUGGGGGGUCUGACCCCUUCCGUGCCGGAGUUAAACACAAUAAGCAAUCCACCUGGGGAGUACGGCCGCAAGGUUGAAACUCAAAGGAAUUGACGGGGGCCCGCACAAGCAGUGGAGUAUGUGGUUUAAAUUCGAAGCAACGCGAAGAACCUUACCAGGUCUUGACAUCCACCGAAUCCUGUAGAGAUACGGGAGUGCCCUUCGGGGAACGGUGAGACAGGUGGUGCAUGGUUGUCGUCAGCUCGUGUCGUGAGAUGUUGGGUUAAGUCCCGCAACGAGCGCAACCCUUGUGAAUAGUUGCUACGAAA